GAGUGGCGCCGAGGACUUUUCUUCCAAACGCAGAAAUGACAUUAACCCACCUACCAGGAACACGUCCAUAGUGUAUGGAAGCUGUGUGCCAUCAUUUGUUUCAUCUUCCUUUUGAUUUUACCAUAAAUGUAGCCCAAACAUUGGGAAAGCGAAAAGACCACGUCCUCUUCAGAAGGAAUGGCACAGAAUUGUGUAGUUCCUGAUCAAACUUUGUGAAAAACAGGAACUCAGCGUUAAGAGACUUUGUAACUGUUAUUGGCUAUGGCAGCAGUUCUCAACCUGAAAUUGGUGACUGCCCAGUUGGCAACUUGUUGGAUGCUGGGAAAGUGCAGAUUCCUGACAGCGGUGACGUACAUUCUGGAUGGCACUGUUUUCUGGGAGUUUCAGAGUUCUCAGCCCAUGCUUGACUGACUUCUUGGUUUCUGGGCCCGGGAGAGGCAGAACAGCACAGAGGAAGAAGGUGGAGAAGAGAGCUGGAUCACCUUGGAAGCAGGAAGCAGACAGAAACAGCAGGAGGAGGCUAGGACCAAGACACGCCCUGCAAAGGUACCUUCACGGCAACCCACUUCUCCUAACAAGGCACCGCCUCCACAGUUCCACCACUGAACAAGUUAUUCAGAAUGGAGGCCCUUAAUGCGUGACACCAUUGGAGUUGGUCGGCACCCUCCUGAUCUAAAAUGCCCCUGGAAACUCCCUCAGAAGCUCACUUUACUCAUUCUGGGCAUCUCUCAAUCCAACUGAGUUGCCAGUCAAGAUGGACCAUCUCACCCCACAACCACAUGUGUCAUCUUCCCCUCUCACAAACAAGGAAAUGGAGGCUCAGAGAAACUAAGAAAUGUGCCAAAGGUCUCAUGGUUAGUGAGUGGCAAGCGUCUGUCUAACUUGAAAGUUCAAGCAUUUCUUAGUGCUUAAGAGCUUGUCUUUGGCCACGGAUGCACUUCUCAAGGACUGAGGCAACAACAACCCUAGGUGCCUAAUACCUCAUCAUUGCCACACCUACAUUCCUAACCAACUACACCUUCCACUGAGCAGCACACAGGAAGACAAAGACAAUGCAAUGGAAAGACAAAAAGACAAUGGCUAUAAACCUAUAGAUUUGAAAACACUAAACAUUAAGAAAUACAUUUUCCCUUAACAUUCAGAGACA